rnacentral:rRNA from 1 species
GAUGAACGCUGGCGGCGUGCCUAAUACAUGCAAGCCGAGCGAACAGACGAGGAGCUUGCUCCUCUGACGUUAGCGGCGGACGGGUGAGUAACACGUGGAUAACCUACCUAUAAGACUGGGAUAACUUCGGGAAACCGGAGCUAAUACCGGAUAAUAUAUUGAACCGCAUGGUUCAAUAGUGAAAGACGGUUUUGCUGUCACUUAUAGAUGGAUCCGCGCCGCAUUAGCUAGUUGGUAAGGUAACGGCUUACCAAGGCAACGAUGCGUAGCCGACCUGAGAGGGUGAUCGGCCACACUGGAACUGAGACACGGUCCAGACUCCUACGGGAGGCAGCAGUAGGGAAUCUUCCGCAAUGGGCGAAAGCCUGACGGAGCAACGCCGCGUGAGUGAUGAAGGUCUUCGGAUCGUAAAACUCUGUUAUUGGGGAAGAACAAAUGUGUAAGUAACUAUGCACGUCUUGACGGUACCUAAUCAGAAAGCCACGGCUAACUACGUG